rnacentral:rRNA from 1 species
CGGCGGACGGGUGAGUAACACGUGGAUAACCUACCUAUAAGACUGGGAUAACUUCGGGAAACCGGAGCUAAUACCGGAUAAUAUAUUGAACCGCAUGGUUCAAUAGUGGAAGACGGUUUUGCUGUCACUUAUAGAUGGAUCCGCGCCGCAUUAGCUAGUUGGUAAGGUAACGGCUUACAAAGGCAACGAUGCGUAGCCGACCUGAGAGGGUGAUCGGCCACACUGGAACUGAGACACGGUCCAG